UACAUAGGGUGCAAGCGUUAAUCGGAAUUACUGGGCGUAAAGCGUGCGCAGGCGGUUAUGCAAGUCAGAUGUGAAAUCCCCGGGCUCAACCUGGGAACUGCAUUUGUGACUGCAUGGCUGGAGUGCGGCAGAGGGGGAUGGAAUUCCGCGUGUAGCAGUGAAAUGCGUAGAUAUGCGGAGGAACACCGAUGGCGAAGGCAAUCCCCUGGGCCUGCACUGACGCUCAUGCACGAAAGCGUGGGGAGCAAACAGG
rnacentral:rRNA from 1 species